UGGCUCAGUGGUUAAGAGCACUGGCUGCUCUUCCAGAGGGCCUGGGUUCAAUUCCCAG
rnacentral:tRNA from 1 species